AACGAACGCUGGCGGCAUGCCUAACACAUGCAAGUCGAACGAUGAAGCAGAGCUUGCUCUGUGGAUUAGUGGCGCACGGGUGCGUAACACGUGGGAAUCUACCCUAUGGUAAGGAACAACAGUUGGAAACGACUGCUAAUACCUUAUAUGGCUAUGGCUGAAAGAUUUAUCGCCAUAGGAUGAGCCCGCGGUGGAUUAGCUAGUUGGUAAGGUAAGAGCUUACCAAGGCUACGAUCUAUAGCUGGUCUGAGAGGAUGAUCAGCCACACUGGGACUGAGACACGGCCCAGACUCCUACGGGAGGCAGCAGUGGGGAAUAUUGGACAAUGGAGGAAACUCUGAUCCAGCAAUGCCGCGUGAGUGAUGACGGCCUUAGGGUUGUAAAGCUCUUUCAGAUGUGAAGAUGAUGACGGUAACAUCAGAAGAAGCCCCGGCUAACUUCG
rnacentral:rRNA from 1 species